CUUGGUCAUUUAGAGGAAGUAAAAGUCGUAACAAGGUCUCCGUAGGUGAACCUGCGGAGGGAUCAUUACAAGUGACCCCGGUCUUACCACCGGGAUGUUCAUAACCCUUUGUUGUCCGACUCUGUUGCCUCCGGGGCGACCCUGCCUUCGGGCGGGGGCUCCGGGUGGACACUUCAAACUCUUGCGUAACUUUGCAGUCUGAAUAAACUUAAUUAAUAAAUUAAAACUUUUAACAACGGAUCUCUUGGUUCUGGCAUCGAUGAAGAACGCAGCGAAAUGCGAUAAGUAAUGUGAAUUGCAGAAUUCAGUGAAUCAUCGAGUCUUUGAACGCACAUUGCGCCCCCUGGUAUUCCGGGGGGCAUGCCUGUUCGAGCGUCAUUUCACCACUCAAGCCUCGCUUGGUAUUGGGCAACGCGGUCCGCCGCGUGCCUCAAAUCGACCGGCUGGGUCUUCUGUCCCCUAAGCGUUGUGGAAACUAUUCGCUAAAGGGUGUUCGGGAGGCUACGCCGUAAAACAACCCCAUUUCUAAGGUUGACCUCGGAUCAGGUAGGGAUACCCGCUGAACUUAAGCAUAUCAAUAAGCGGAGGA
rnacentral:rRNA from 1 species